rnacentral:rRNA from 1 species
GACGAACGCUGGCGGCGUGCCUAAUACAUGCAAGUAGAACGCACAGUUUAUACCGUAGCUUGCUCCACCAUAGACUGUGAGUUGCGAACGGGUGAGUAACGCGUAGGUAACCUGCCUGGUAGCGGGGGAUAACUAUUGGAAACGAUAGCUAAUACCGCAUAAUAUUAAUUAUUGCAUGAUAAUUAAUUGAAAGGUGCAAUUGCACCACUACCAGAUGGACCUGCGUUGUAUUAGCUAGUAGGUGAGGUAGCGGCUCACCUAGGCGACGAUACAUAGCCGACCUGAGAGGGUGAUCGGCCACACUGGGACUGAGACACGGCCCAGACUCCUACGGGAGGCAGCAGUAGGGAAUCUUCGGCAAUAGACGAAAGUCUGACCGAGCAACGCCGCGUGAGUGAAGAAGGUUUUCGGAUCGUAAAGCUCUGUUGUAAGAGAAGAACGGGUGUGAGAGUGGAAAGUUCACACUGUGACGGUAUCUUACCAGAAAGGGACGGCUAACUACGUG